rnacentral:lncRNA from 10 species
CCAAACCUGAGAUUUUGUUACAAAUGACACAGGAAUUUGGCACAGGGAGGAAGCAGGGUCAGGCUGCUGAUCAGGGCUGGCAGAGCGAAUUCGUCCAGCUUCCAUCAGAUAGAGCCAAUUUCCAAGUGCAGCUGACCACAGCUGUGCUCUCUGCCACAUCAGGGAAAGUUCGGAGAGUAGAGCUUACUCUCUCAUGAAAGCACUCAGUCACAAUCCCAGGGGUCACCUUCUCAAGGGUUGGAACACAAGGUAGGAUGUAACAGAAGGGCCAACAGAGAGUGACUGGGGCAAAAAGGGCAUUUAUCAUUUCACAGAGCAACAAGUCUGGAAGCAAGGGCAGUUCUACAACAGAAGCAAGAGCUUCACAGUGACACUAAGGACCAGGGCUCCUUUCCUUUUUCCAGUCUCCUCUACUCAGAAUUUUGUUUUUGUCCUCAGCAUUUUGCUCUAGUGAUUACAAAAUGGCUGCCUCAGUUCCAGGGUAUUGUAUCUUCACACAAUCACUCUGAAAUGCAGAAGAAAGACACAUUCUACAUGCGUCUCUUUAUCUGGGAGGAAGAGCCUUCCCAGCAGCCCCAGCCAGCUGCGUUUCAGGUCCCUUAAGACCAGAUUGGGUACAAACUCAAGCUCUGGCUGUACAGGAGGAAAGCAAUAUUGGGCAUUUUCUUAUCUUGCAUUCUUGCCUGUCAAAGUCUGACAGCAAGAUCAAGGUGGUAGCUGGGCACAGAACAGGAGCAGCUGCAGGGUGUAAUUGGGUAGGCGAUCAACAGUGUCACUUACAGAAAGUUAACAGCUUUAACGGCAGCCCUUUUUAAGCAUAAACAUUUAAAGUGUGCUCCUUUAUAACUCCAUGUAACAUUCCUUACCAGCAUGCAUUGCUAGCUUCACACACUUAAUAAAUGAAAGGGCAUAUCUCUCUUCUAGAUGAUAAUGAGGACAGAUGCAUAAAAUAUUGGCAUUUGCAAAAUAUUUUUUCCAAGUAAUGAUCAAUAAAACUGGAAAUUUCCGCAUGAUUGAUAUUUUCUUAGAUAACAAUUCUUCAAGACCUUAUCUAGAUACUUAAACCCUAUGGCACAAUAUCCUCAUACGUAAAAAUGGGUAUAGCAUGAAUAACAUUGUAGAGAGGGCUAUAUAUAUAUACUUACUGUUAACAAAAUGAAUUUUUCUGACAUUUUUUAAAAACUUGUAUAAAUAAGGAUGUCAAUUAUUGCAUCUCUCCCCAAGGGCAGAGUUUGCCUGAUGGUUAGUUAUCAGGGGAGGGCCCCAGUUGGUCUGUGGCAGAAAGGGUACAAUAAUCACCACACCAUUUCACUAGGUUCUGUCAAUAUUUGUUUGAUUUCCCAAAGCUACAGUACUGCCUAUUAACAGCUCAAUUGCACAAAAAAGUUAAUCAACAUUUGCUACAGAAAUACUGUGCUAGCUUUCAUAACCUACUUUUAAGAUGAAACAUAGGUUCAUAAGAGGGGAGAAUUCAUUAGGCUCUUUUUAGAAAUUUUGACUCUACUGUGAAUUGUUUUAUGUACUUGAUAAAUAGGCCCACACAAAUAAGUGGCCAUUGAGACAUGUCACUUGACAAUAUCAAAAAACUUGCUCCCCACCCUCAACCUCACCCCCAUCUGUCCUUACUCACAAACAGUACCCUCUCUUCACAGCUGUUUGAAAUGAUCAGUGAACUCUUCCCUAUGUGCAUGGAGGCAGUAGAGGAAAGGGAACUAGAAGCUGCAGAAAACAAUGGUUAAAGGCCAGGCAUGGUGGCUUCUGCCUGAACUCCCAGCACUUUGGGAGGCCAAGGUGGGAGGAUCCUUUGAGCUCAGGCAUUUGAGACCAGCCUGGGCAAUAUAAAAAGGUCUCGUGUCUACUAAAAUUACAAAAAUUAGCUGGGUGUGGUGGUACAUGCCUGUAGUCCCAGCUACUCAGGAGGCUGAAGCGGAAGGAUCACCUGAGCCCAGGAGGUAGAGGCUGCAGUGAGCCAAGAUGGCACCACUGUACUCCAGCCUGGGUGACAGAGCAAGACUCUGUCUCAAAAAAAAAAAAAAAAAAAAGAAAAGAAAAGAAAAAAAGAAAGAAAGAAAAAGAAAAAACAACAAGAAAACAAUGGUUAAAAAGCAAAUUUGUUGCCUGGGAAAAUCACUAAUAUCCAGUGUUCUGUUAUCACAUAGCAGAAAACAAGCCCUUCAGUUAGCGAAACUGGGUUGAGGGAGAGCAAGGCAAGCAGCAAGAGAAGGUGCUAGGGAAAGAGAACUGGAGAAUGGUGCAGGCACUGCCUGGGAGCUUGUCAGAAAUGCAGAGUCUUGGGCUUCUCCCCAGACCCACUGAAUCAGGGCAUGUAUUUUAACAAGACCCUCAGGUGAUUCCUGCACAGGUUAAAACUUGAGAAGCACUGCACAAAGGCAGGAGGCAGUAAUUCCAAGGAAUAAACCCUGCCAGAGUGUCAUGCUUGGAGCCCUGACAGCUACCUGGGAGCAGUCUCAGCUGAGGUGAGAGGGACGUUAGGCAUUGGAACAGGCAAGCAUAGGUGCCAAAAGGGUAACAGUGGUAAUUGUGGUUACAGUCAGCUUUAACGAAACACUGACAGUGUGACAGGCACUACUGUACUACUUUCCAUGCAUUGUUUCUGAUUUCAUAAUAACCCUGCAACACAGGUAUCAUAAAGAAACGGAAACUCAGGGAGGUUAGGUAACUUGCCCUAGGCUCAGGCCAGCAAGUAACUGAAUCUGGAUUCACUCCUGAGUUUUGGAAUCAGAGAAAUCCAAGCUCAAAUCCUCUGUCUACUUCUUAUUAGAAAUAUAAUUUUGUUGAGGUCGCUUCCAAGAUGGCCGAAUAAGAACAGCUCCAGUCUACAGCUCCCAGCGAGACUGACACAGAAGAUGGGCGAUUUCUGCAUUUCCAACUGAGAACGUGAGCCAUGGUGAUGGAAGCCUCUUCCAAACCAAAGUGCUUAAUAAGUGCUCGUGAGGACCAUACAAUGUGGAAGGAACCUGGGUCCCUGAAAAUUCCCACAGAAGGCUACUGACCAAGAAAUCUUUCAAAAGACUAUGACAGGAGCAAAAACUACAUUUUUAUUGGGUUAAACUACAGAGAUUUCUGGGUGUAUCUGUUACAGCAACUGGUGUUAAUUAAACAGAGAAGAGCACCGUUCCAUUUUCUCUUUAAGGUUGGAGUAUUAAAUUGCCUCUAUUGUCUCUUUUACGGUAUUGAUAUUUUUUGAUUGAUUGAUCGACCAGGUUUCUUUACUAUCAAUUCUUCACCUUUAAUGGGCCCUCUUUAUAUUUUUUCUACAUAUCCCUGCAUUAUAUUUUCUUGAUGUUUCCCGGGACAUCUUAG